rnacentral:rRNA from 1 species
GACGAACGCUGGCGGCGUGCUUAACACAUGCAAGUCGAACGGAGUGGCGAACGGGUGAGUAAGUAGUGGGUGACCUGCCCUGCACUUCGGGAUAAGCCUGGGAAACUGGGGCUACUACCGGCUAGUGUGGGAUGGGAUCGCGGCCUAUCAGCUUGUGGGGGGGGUAAUGGCCUACCAAGGCGGCGGCGGGUAGCCGGCCUGGGCGGGUGGAAGGCCACAUUGGGACUGAGGCACGGCACAGACUCCUACUGGGGGCAGAAGUGGGGAAGAAUGGACAAUGGGCGGAAGCCGUAUGCAGCGAGGCCGCGUGGGGUAUAGCAGCCUUCGGGUUGUAAACGCCUUUCACCAUCAACGCGGUAGAUGGAGAAGAAGCACCGGCUAACUACGUGCCAGCAGCCGCGGUAAUUC